CCUACGGGAGGCAGCAGUGAGGAAUAUUGGUCAAUGGCCGGAAGGCUGAACCAGCCAUGCCGCGUGAAGGUCAGUGCCCUAUGGGCGUUAAACUUCUUUUGUGCGGGAGCAAUAAUGGUCACGUGUGGCCAGACGAGAGUACCGUACGAAUAAGCAUCGGCUAACUCCGUGCCAGCAGCCGCGGUAAUACGGGGGAUGCAAGCGUUAUCCGGAUUUAUUGGGUUUAAAGGGUGCGUAGGCUGUGAGGUAAGUCAGCGGUGAAAUGCCCCCGCUCAACGGGGUGAAGUGCCAUUGAUACUGCCUGGCUGGAAUGCGGAUGCCGUGGGAGGAAUGUGUGGUGUAGCGGUGAAAUGCAGAGAUAUCACACAGAACACCGAUUGCGAAGGCAUCUCACGAAUCCGCGAUUGACGCUGAUGCACGAAAGCGUGGGUAUCAAACAGGAUUAGAUACCCUUGUAGUC
rnacentral:rRNA from 1 species